UUGUGAAAAAAAUAUAAUUUUAUGUUAUGUUUUGCUUCAAAUCAACAGGUAACAUUCAUGAUAUAGAUCUGGAUGAUGGGCGCUACCCACCAAAACCUAGACCCCCAUCAGGUGGAGGAGGAUAUUCAGAUUAUGGAAAUGCUCAUGGGGAUAAUAUAGCUAGAAUUGUUUCUCCUAUUGUUUCUGUGGUUGUGGUAUCACUUGUUGGAGCUGCUACAAGCUAUUUUGCUUAUAACCGGAGGAGAAACUGCUGCAGAACUAAUGAGCCAGAGACUGUCUGAAAGAGGAAGGAAUCUGCAGUGACUUUCACAUGAACUGUAAUAAGAUCAGAAUGGACAUUUAUCAUGUACGUUAUGUAGAAGAAUUUUUUAGUCUAAUAAGGACACAUCAAUAUACCAAAAGAAUUUUCUUCUUCUAAAACAUGUAAUUCAUCUAAAUGAGGAUUCCAAACUUCUUUGUAUAAUGUAGAUACAAUAAUAGAUACUGUAGUAUAAUGAUACUUUUUACAAAAAAAAAGAAGACUGAAUUAAUAUUUAUAGUGUUUAAUGUGGAAAUGAGAACUUAUAUUCUUCUUAGUUCUUAGAAUAUCUUUUAUAAAAAUAUAUAAAUAUUUUAACCAUUACUUUUUUCAUAAUGCCUACAUAGGCACAACUUUAGAGGGACCACUAUAGAUGUACUUAGUGACAUAUACAAUGGGUAACAAUGCAAAGGUAAAGAAAACAUCCCAUUCCAAUAAUAUUUUUGUGCAAAAAGUCAUCAAAGCAAAGUGCUUUUUUAAAAAUUUCAACCAAAGGCUUAUUUAUGAGUGAAAUUGAUUUACUUCCAACAUUGACAGAAAAACCUAAAUACUGUACACUUGAUAUUUCAAAUUAAGAUGAUAAAUGCAACACACUAAAAACAAAAUUCCUGGGGUAGUAAUAUUGAAAACUUAUCAUUACAUUUUUUUGAGGGUAUUUUCUUUUUAAAAUAAAAACAAGAAAUAUGGACUGGCUUUUGAGUCA
ensembl:lncRNA